rnacentral:lncRNA from 1 species
AAAAGGCAGUAAACAUCACCAACAAUGUAUCCCGAGCAUACAUUCUGUGACGCACUAACAAAAGCAAUCACUAUAAAUCACGUUGGUCAAGGACGUGAUUCCGCGACGCCGCGCCCCUGAGCGGGCGGCGGCAACGGCCCGCGGAGUCCCUUUUCCAGGCAAACCCGCCACCGCGUGGACCCGAGCGGAACCGCACCGCCGGCCGGGAACGCCCACGCCGGGAGCCUGUCACCGCGACCGCGGACCCGCGAGCCAGACCCCAAAGGGGAAAGGUAGCUGAGCGCCCCUCUGAUGAGGACCAGCGCGAAGCCCGCGCCGUCCCACCUGCAGUCAGCUUAGACCGCCAAGGGGCUAUCUGGAACGAGAAGUGCUUUGGGUUUAAAAUGAAGCCCUUGGCUGCCGGGCCCUCUGCCCUGGACGGGGCCGCCAGACGGAGAGGGGCGGUUACAGCUCACGGUGCUCGUUCUCCCUCCCUCCCUGUCCCUCUCUCUCUGAACCACAAGGGGAAGGGAAAGCAAAAGAGACAGGAUGGCCAAGAUUUCUCGCUUUGGUGCUGUAUCCUUUCUGUCCGUGAUUAACAGACAAAGGAGGCGCCUUAGACGGCUACCUGUCUCCCUCUGAGCAGCUGAGGGGCCCACGCAGUGGCGGUCAGGACAGAGCCCGGGGAGUCCUGAGCAACCAUGCCCCCCCACCCCCGCCCCCACGCCCAGAGGAAGCUGUUCUCCGAGGAACCUUGACCUCCAGGCCAGAUGGAGACCGCAGCGAGGUGCACCAGUGCACCAGUGCUGAAGCCUUCACAGACGGCAACAGAAACCUGGAGACGCUUCUCCCCCCACAUGCACUCCCCUUAGGCUUGGGGGGAGGGAGAUUGUUCUUUUAAUUUUCAACAUUAUUGUUUUUUAAUUUCAAACCUACAAAAACAUUAAAAGAAUAAAGCAAAGAAACCAGUAUGUCUUGCGCUUAAAUUUGCUGUUUGAUUAGGAUCUAGCUUAUCCUGCCACUAUUUGUUCUUUGCCAAAACAAAUACACACACACGUAUGUGUUAUAAUUUCC